AGCUUAUUUCGCGCAGCUUAGGUGGGAGACGUUGAACCUUUUCUUCCGGGAAAGGGGGAGUCAUCAGUGAGAUACCAUUCUUGGUAAGCUAGAGCGCUCAUUUUUAACCGUUAUCCGGUAAAAAGACAGUUUCAGGCGGGCAGUUUGACUGGGGCAGUCACCUCCCAAAAGGUAAUGGAGGUGUACAAAGGUUCUCUCAGGCUGGACGGAAAUCAGCCAUAGAGUGUAAAAGCAUAAGAGAGCUUGACUGCGAGACGGACAUGUCAAGCAGAGACGAAAGUCGGUUUUAGUGAUCCGACGGUGCUGAGUGGAAAGGCCGUCGCUCAACGGAUAAAAGUUACUCUAGGGAUAACA
rnacentral:rRNA from 1 species